rnacentral:rRNA from 1 species
AACGAACGCUGGCGGCAUGCCUAACACAUGCAAGUCGAACGAGACCUUCGGGUCUAGUGGCGCACGGGUGCAUAACGCGUGGGAACCUGCCUUUAGGUUCGGAAUAACUCAGAGAAAUUUGAGCUAAUACCGUAUGUGCCCUUCGGGGGAAAGAUUUAUCGCCAUUGGAGCAGCCCGCGUUGGAUUAGGUAGUUGGUGGGGUAAAGGCUCACCAAGCCUACGAUCCAUAGCUGGUCUGAGAGGAUGACCAGCCACACUGGGACUGAGACACGGCCCAGACUCCUACGGGAGGCAGCAGUAGGGAAUAUUGGACAAUGGGCGCAAGCCUGAUCCAGCCAUGCCGCGUGAGUGAUGAAGGCCUUCGGGUUGUAAAGCUCUUUCGCACACGACGAUGAUGACGGUAGUGUGAGAAGAAGCCCCGGCUAACUUCGUGCCAGCCGCCGCCGUAAGAC